UCAAAGAGGGGGACAACAGUUGGAAACGACUGCUAAUACCGCAUAAGCCCACAGCUCCGCAUGGAGCAGGGGGAAAAGGAGCAAUCCGCUUUGAGAUGGCCUCGCGUCCGAUUAGCUAGUUGGUGAGGUAACGGCCCACCAAGGCGACGAUCGGUAGCCGGACUGAGAGGUUGAUCGGCCACAUUGGGACUGAGUACACGGCCCAGACUCCUACGGGAGGCAGCAGUGGGGAAUAUUGCACAAUGGGGGAAACCCUGAUGCAGCGACGCCGCGUGGAGGAAGAAGGUCUUCGGAUUGUAAACUCCUGUUGUUGGGGAAGAUAAUGACGGUACCCAACAAGGAAGUGACGGCUAACUACGUGCCAGCAGCCGCGGUAAAACGUAGGUCACAAGCGUUGUCCGGAACCUACUGGGUGUAAAGGGAGCGCAGGCGGGAAGACAAGUUGGAAGUGAAAUCUAUGGGCUCAACCCAUAAACUGCUUUCAAAACUGUUUUUCUUGAGUAGUGCAGAGGUAGGCGGAAUUCCCGGUGUAGCGGUGGAAUGCGUAGA
rnacentral:rRNA from 1 species